rnacentral:rRNA from 1 species
UACGGGGGGGCAAGCGUUGUUCGGAAUUACUGGGCGUAAAGGGCGCGUAGGCGGCCUCUGCAAGUCGACUGUGAAAUCUCCGGGCUUAACCCGGAAAGGUCAGCCGAUACUGCAGGGCUAGAGUGCAGAAGGGGCAACUGGAAUUCUCGGUGUAGCGGUGAAAUGCGUAGAUAUCGAGAGGAACACCUGCGGCGAAGGCGGGUUGCUGGGCUGACACUGACGCUGAGGCGCGAAAGCUAGGGGAGCGAACGGG